rnacentral:rRNA from 1 species
UACGUAGGGUCCAAGCGUUAUCCGGAAUCACUGGGCGUAAAGCGUGCGUAGGCGGCGUGUUAAGUGUGAUGUUAAGUCGUGUGGCUCAACCAUAUCGAUGCAUCACAUACUGGCAUGCUAGAGGAAGGCAGAGGCAAGUGGAAUUUGUAGUGUAGCAGUGAAAUGCGUAGAUAUUACAAGGAACACCAAUGGCGAAGGCAGCUUGCUGGGCCUUUUCUGACGCUGAGGUACGAAAGCGUGGGGAGCGAACAGG